GCCAUUGGCAGCCCAGGAGAAGGGCACUUCCGGGCGGGGUGGAAGACGCGGGCCAAUCAGUCUGCAAGCGGGACUUCUGUCGUCGUCCUCGGACCAUCACUUCGGCAUUUCACGAUUUUGUCUGCAUCUGAAGGGACCGCGUUGUCAGGCGAGGGACGGAAUCUUGGAGGCUCCCUGGGCCCAUGGAAACAGGAGGAAGGCACGAGAGUCGGGGAAGUUCCGCCUCCGUGACAUAUAAGCGCCCCGACCGCGGCGAAUAUCGCCCCCCAAGCCCCAGUGUUCCCCCCGGCCGUAGAUGAAGCCGGCCCAGUGGGACCUCAGGUCGCACCGCGCGGAGGUGUCCGCGGCUCCCGGGAGUCGUCGCCCUUGGCGUUGUGUCGGCUUUACGGAGCGCGAGGCCGAGGCCAAGAAAAGCCACGCAUUGGGAGGUCUUGACCCAGCGUGCGCCCGGCUGCAGGCUUGGGGCGUGUGCCAAGGGUCUCCUGGCACCCACUCGGCUGGACUCAGCACCAUUGCCCUAAGUCUCCGAUUGAGAAGUACCUGCCCCAGGUCCUCUGCAGCGCCACCGGACAGUGUAGAGCGUUCACAGCACCAUGAAGAGAGGAAGGAGAUGACAUCACCCAUGGAAGGACAUAUAUACCCUGUCCAGUGUCCUUGUUGGCAAAAACACAGUAAGCCAAGUUGACACCUCCCUGAUAAUUCCAGAAGUCCUCUGGACCACUCAGAUUGCUUAAAACCUACCCAUCUAGAAGAAGAAAUGACAUCCACCCCAAAAAGUAUGUGCCCUGAAAAACAUACCUUCUGAAGUUUCUGUCAACACUACUGGAGACAGAGGUCAGUGGAGCCCGAGUAAAUGUCCAGGUAACAGCCAUGCUGGGGGUCAAUGCAGUGGGGAUGUUUCCAUGGUGAUGCCAGAAGAGCCCAUGCCACAGCCUGCUGACUUUAUCCUUUGACCUGUCCAGAAGUCCAGAGAUGCUGUGAACGCUUACUGUAGCCUCCAUGCUGGCCUUAGGGGGACACCAAGAUUCCUGGAUAUGGAAUCCACUGAGCACCUUUGCCUGCAGACUUCAGUGCCAGGGGCCACAUCGACAACCCCUGACUCUCCCAAUACUGUUCCUCUACCCACAAGCCUCUGUGGUUCCCUAAAAGGAGAUAUUGUUUUCCCCACUCCCUGCCUUGAUGCCUAGACUCAGGCCUGACUGCAGUCAUCUGCCAAGUUGUCUCUGGAAAACCUUUGACACAGGUAUUGUGAAUGCCCCAGUCUCUGUCUUUAUCCCCACCACUACCAAGCCCAGUAAUUACCCAUUCUCUUAGGACCUGACCCAUCUCCACCUCCCAGGCUUUCUCCUGAUCCAAGGCUGUCUGGGAAAUCCAGCUCCAAGGUAACAGUUGCUUUUGAGGCUCCCCAAAGGGCUUGUGAAAUACUCAGGAUUCCUUUUUUUUUGAGACAGAGUCUCACUCUGUUGCCCACGAUGGAGUGCAGUGGAGCUAUCUCAGCUCACUGCAGACUCUGCCCCCUGGGUUC